UGCGCUCCCUAGCCACGUUGGGAGAGCAGCAAACGGCUCAGUAACACGUAGUUAAUCUGCCCUUAGGACGGAUAUACCCCUGGGAAACUGGGGUUAAUGUCCGAUAGGUAGAAGUGCCUGGAAUGGUCUUCUACUGAAAGGUUAUCGGAAACAUGCUUCCAAUAACGCCUAAGGAUGAGACUGCGGCCGAUCAGGCAGUUGGCGGGGUAACGGCCCACCAAACCUGUAACCGGUACGGGCCCUGAGAGGGGAAGCCCGGAGAUGGGAACUGAGACAAGGUCCCAGGUCCUACGGGGCGCAGCAGGCGCGAAAACUCCACAAUGUGCGAAAGCAUGAUGGGGUUAACCCGAGUGCCAUCCGAUGAGGAUGGCUUUUCUUCAGUUUAAGGAUCUGGAGGAAUAAAGGGGGGGCAAGACUGGUGUCAGCCGCCGCGGUAAUACCAGCCCCCUGAGUGGUAGGGACGAUUAUUUGGCCUAAAGCGUCCGUAGCCCGUUUGGUAAGUCUUUCGUUAAAUCCGACGAUUCCAUCGUUGGGCCGCGGAAGAGACUGCCAGACUUGAGGACGGGAGAGGUCGACGGUAGUCCCAGGGUAGGGGUGAAAUCCUAUAAUCCUGGGAGGACCACCAGUGGCGAAGGCGGUCGACUAGAACGUGCCUGACGGUGAUGGACGAAAGCUGGGGGAGCGAACCGGAUUAGACACCCGGGUAGUCCCAGCUGUAAACGAUGCGAGCUAGGUGUUGGAGCAACUACGAGUUGCUCCAGUGCCGCAGAGAAGUUGUUAAGCUCGCCGCCUGGGAAGUACGGCCGCAAGGCUGAAACUUAAAAGGAAUUGGCGGGGGGAGCACCACAAGGGGGUGAAGCU
rnacentral:rRNA from 1 species